rnacentral:misc_RNA from 1 species
UCCGGCUUGACGCCGGCAGUCCCCCGAGAGUCCUCAGCAUCACCUGCUAGUAACACGGGACAAGGGUUGCGCUCGUUGAUGGACUUAACCAAACACCUCACGGCACGAGCUGACGACAGCCAUGCAGCAUCUGUGCACGCUCCCUUGCGGGUCCUCCCCCUUUCGAGGUCGUACCACGUGCAUGUCAAGCCCAGGUAAGGUUCUUCGCGUUGCGUCGAAUUAAACCACAUGCUCCACCGCUUGUGCGGGCCCCCGUCAAUUCCUUUGAGUUUCAGCCUUGCGGCCGUACUCCCCAGGCGGGGUACUUCCUGCGUUAGCGCCGGCACCCAAGGGGUCGCUCCCCCAGGCACCUAGUACCCAUCGUUUACGGCGUGGACUAC